rnacentral:rRNA from 1 species
GGGUUGUGAGGUUAAGCGACUAAGCGUACACGGUGGAUGCCCUGGCAGUCAGAGGCGAUGAAGGACGUGCUAAUCUGCGAUAAGCGCCGGUAAGGUGAUAUGAACCGUUAUAACCGGCGAUUUCCGAAUGGGGAAACCCAGUGUGAUUCGUCACACUAUCAUUAACUGAAUCCAUAGGUUAAUGAGGCGAACCGGGGAACUGAAACAUCUAAGUACCCCGAGGAAAAGAAAUCAACCGAGAUUCCCCCAGUAGCGGCGAGCGAACGGGGAGGAGCCCAGAGCCUGAAUCAGCAUGUGUGUUAGUGGAAGCGUCUGGAAAGGCGCGCGAUACAGGGUGACAGCCCCGUACACAAAAGCGCAUGUGCUGUGAGCUCGAUGAGUAGGGCGGGACACGUGGUAUCCUGUCUGAAUAUGGGGGGACCAUCCUCCAAGGCUAAAUACUCCUGACUGACCGAUAGUGAACCAGUACCGUGAGGGAAAGGCGAAAAGAACCCCGGCGAGGGGAGUGAAAAAGAACCUGAAACCGUGUACGUACAAGCAGUGGGAGCACAGGUUUACCUGUGUGACUGCGUACCUUUUGUAUAAUGGGUCAGCGACUUAUAUUCUGUAGCAAGGUUAACCGAAUAGGGGAGCCGGAGGGAAACCGAGUCUUAAUUGGGCGUUAAGUUGCAGGGUAUAGACCCGAAACCCGGUGAUCUAGCCAUGGGCAGGUUGAAGGUUGGGUAACACUAACUGGAGGACCGAACCGACUAAUGUUGAAAAAUUAGCGGAUGACCUGUGGCUGGGGGUGAAAGGCCAAUCAAACCGGGAGAUAGCUGGUUCUCCCCGAAAGCUAUUUAGGUAGCGCCUCGUGAACUCAUCUCCGGGGGUAGAGCACUGUUUCGGCUAGGGGGCCAUCCCGGCUUACCAACCCGAUGCAAACUGCGAAUACCGGAGAAUGUUAUCACGGGAGACACACGGCGGGUGCUAACGUCCGUCGUGAAGAGGGAAACAACCCAGACCGCCAGCUAAGGUCCCAAAGUCAUGGUUAAGUGGGAAACGAUGUGGGAAGGCCCAGACAGCCAGGAUGUUGGCUUAGAAGCAGCCAUCAUUUAAAGAAAGCGUAAUAGCUCACUGGUCGAGUCGGCCUGCGCGGAAGAUGUAACGGGGCUAAACCAUGCACCGAAGCUGCGGCAGCGACACUGUGUGUUGUUGGGUAGGGGAGCGUUCUGUAAGCCUGUGAAGGUGGCCUGUGAGGGUUGCUGGAGGUAUCAGAAGUGCGAAUGCUGACAUAAGUAACGAUAAAGCGGGUGAAAAGCCCGCUCGCCGGAAGACCAAGGGUUCCUGUCCAACGUUAAUCGGGGCAGGGUGAGUCGACCCCUAAGGCGAGGCCGAAAGGCGUAGUCGAUGGGAAACAGGUUAAUAUUCCUGUACUUGGUGUUACUGCGAAGGGGGGACGGAGAAGGCUAUGUUGGCCGGGCGACGGUUGUCCCGGUUUAAGCGUGUAGGCUGGUUUUCCAGGCAAAUCCGGAAAAUCAAGGCUGAGGCGUGAUGACGAGGCACUACGGUGCUGAAGCAACAAAUGCCCUGCUUCCAGGAAAAGCCUCUAAGCAUCAGGUAACAUCAAAUCGUACCCCAAACCGACACAGGUGGUCAGGUAGAGAAUACCAAGGCGCUUGAGAGAACUCGGGUGAAGGAACUAGGCAAAAUGGUGCCGUAACUUCGGGAGAAGGCACGCUGACACGUAGGUGAAGUGAUUUACUCAUGGAGCUGAAGUCAGUCGAAGAUACCAGCUGGCUGCAACUGUUUAUUAAAAACACAGCACUGUGCAAACACGAAAGUGGACGUAUACGGUGUGACGCCUGCCCGGUGCCGGAAGGUUAAUUGAUGGGGUCAGCGCAAGCGAAGCUCCUGAUCGAAGCCCCGGUAAACGGCGGCCGUAACUAUAACGGUCCUAAGGUAGCGAAAUUCCUUGUCGGGUAAGUUCCGACCUGCACGAAUGGCGUAAUGAUGGCCAGGCUGUCUCCACCCGAGACUCAGUGAAAUUGAACUCGCUGUGAAGAUGCAGUGUACCCGCGGCAAGACGGAAAGACCCCGUGAACCUUUACUAUAGCUUGACACUGAACAUUGAGCCUUGAUGUGUAGGAUAGGUGGGAGGCUUUGAAGCGUGGACGCCAGUCUGCGUGGAGCCGACCUUGAAAUACCACCCUUUAAUGUUUGAUGUUCUAACGUGGACCCGUAAUCCGGGUUGCGGACAGUGUCUGGUGGGUAGUUUGACUGGGGCGGUCUCCUCCUAAAGAGUAACGGAGGAGCACGAAGGUUGGCUAAUCCUGGUCGGACAUCAGGAGGUUAGUGCAAUGGCAUAAGCCAGCUUGACUGCGAGCGUGACGGCGCGAGCAGGUGCGAAAGCAGGUCAUAGUGAUCCGGUGGUUCUGAAUGGAAGGGCCAUCGCUCAACGGAUAAAAGGUACUCCGGGGAUAACAGGCUGAUACCGCCCAAGAGUUCAUAUCGACGGCGGUGUUUGGCACCUCGAUGUCGGCUCAUCACAUCCUGGGGCUGAAGUAGGUCCCAAGGGUAUGGCUGUUCGCCAUUUAAAGUGGUACGCGAGCUGGGUUUAGAACGUCGUGAGACAGUUCGGUCCCUAUCUGCCGUGGGCGCUGGAGAACUGAGGGGGCUGCUCCUAGUACGAGAGGACCGGAGUGGACGCAUCACUGGUGUUCGGGUUGUCAUGCCAAUGGCACUGCCCGGUAGCUAAAUGCGGAAGAGAUAAGUGCUGAAAGCAUCUAAGCACGAAACUUGCCCCGAGAUGAGUUCUCCCUGAGACUUAGAGUCUCCUGAAGGAACGUUGAAGACGACGACGUUGAUAGGCCGGGUGUGUAAGCGCAGCGAUGCGUUGAGCUAACCGGUACUAAUGAACCGUGAGGCUUAACCUUACAACGCCGAAG